GGCCUGUAGCAGAUAGCUCAGUCCGUAGAAGAUGAGGCUCGUAAUCUCAGGGGUGUGGGUUCGAGCCCCACGUUGGGCCA